rnacentral:rRNA from 1 species
GAUCCUGGCUCAGGAUGAACGCUGGCGGCGUGCUUAACACAUGCAAGUCGAGCGAAGCACUUAAGUUUGAUUCUUCGGAUUGAAAUUUUAGUGACUGAGUGGCGGACGGGUGAGUAACGCGUGGGUAACCUGCCUCACACAGGGGGAUAACAGUUGGAAACGGCUGCUAAUACCGCAUAAGCGCACAGGACCGCAUGGUCCGGUGUGAAAAACUCCGGUGGUAUAGGAUGGACCCGCGUUGGAUUAG